rnacentral:lncRNA from 1 species
AUACAUGUUGGGGAUAAAAUCAGCCCGGGCCCUUUGUGGAUGAUGGAUAUUUGCCAACUCAUUCAGAGCUCUGGAAAUUGGAAAUGAAUAGCAGAGACGUGUUCAAUAACCAAUUCAAAUUUUAUUAUACGUCAGUUAUAUUUAUACCCCAUUUUCAUGUCGGUAGGGGCCAUGAGCAUUAAUGACAGAUUGUUUUUCACAAGUUAUUAACAGCUGUUUCUAGUUAUAUCCUAUGUUAUAUAACACAUGCAUAUUUGAUAAAAAACAGAUAUUUACAAAUACCGAAAUACUGGACAAUUAACAGGAACAUUUCGAAAUCAGUACUUUUCCCGUAACUAGGAUUUUAGAUAAAUUUUAUUUAUGAGAAUCGGAGAUACAAUACCAAAUUUAUUCUUGGUUCAAAUUAACCCUUAUAUGAACAGCUAGGAUAGAUAGUGAGAUGGAUAUUUGUAUCUACAAUUCCCCUCUUAGAUCAUAUCAUGAUCUACCUUACGGAAAAUAUCCAUGGGAGGCCUGCGGCAGAGAAACGAAAGGAGGUAUAUUCAGACGUGCUAAUCACGUCUGCAGGACUUUCGUUAUUUAUUCACCUCGAAUUCCCCCAUUUGCUCUGUGCCGUAGGUUUUCCCUUUAAGAGGAGUUCAAGCUGUCCAUUUUUAGCUUUUUCAAUUAUCUGUUGAAUACAUCUUUUAAGUGUACAAGUUAAAUAUUUCAAACAGCUGACAUGUUAUCCAAUUUUAAACAGACUGCACAUCAUGUUAUCUGUAACUUGAGCCUUGGAUCAAAACAGGCAAAGUGUAUUAUUCCCAACAACGGGAAUAUUAUUAUUAUAAUUCACAAUGUAAACACAUAUAGUCAAAAUAGGAAUAAUAUCUAUUCCCCCUCUUUGGACCAGGGUCUUGGAUUACCAGUCCACCCAGUGAACUCGGGCCAGGUCAAAAAACCCAGUGGCAAAAACUCAUAUUUGAGGAAAAAAGCACAUCUGGAAAACCCAGAGUAAGGGCAAUGACUGUGUAGACAUGUCAUCCCCCUCACGUUGACAGCAUUAGUGACUUAUAAAACCCGCACUUGUAAGUAAAUAGCUCGGGUAUCAGGAUUGGGAAACACUUCUUGAUUAGUUUGAAAAGACCAUUUACAUAUUAAAUCAUGAGAAUUUAUAAUCAGCUUGAAAUUCUAACAAUAAUCCCAAUCAUGACCUUGCAUCCUUUGUCUCCUACUCACAUCCCUAUUUCGAUGGUCCAGUCAUAUCUACACUUAAUACAUGGGAAUCCAUCCUUGGUACACUCAACAUACAUCAAUGACACAUAUAGUACAUCCAUGCCUGAGUAAGCCAACACUUCCUCUCUCUCUGGCUAACUCUACAAAAAUAAAACUAACAAAAUAGUGCAAUAGUCCAGAAAAAUAGAAUAAGUCUUUCAAGGAGUAUAAAGAAUCUUAGACACCAUAACAUAGCUAAGGGUAGCAAUAUGGCUGACAACAAGACAAUGUCAGCUUCCACAUAGUUCUUAAUUCUUCUGUUUGCUGGAUGUUCACCACAACACUCUGUGCAACACCCCAAUUGUUGAAAGGCUAAUACAGAAAUAGCGGCAUUAGACAGCACUGCACCUUCGGGACUUUCCAAGUUAGUUUAUGUCCUCAUAAGUAAGCAUGGAUUUUGACCAAACAGCAAAAAAGUUAGGUAGGCAGGUAGGUCAGCCAGAGAGAUUGGUGUGUAGUCCCAAAUAUCAGGCGGCACAAAUAUUCCAGUACGGUCUCUAUAAUCAUACAAACACAAGGAUCAGUACGACAUCAAUACAUUAAUUAUCUAGGCUAAACUCAAAUAAGAGACUAAAGUUAAACUCUUAACUAGUGUUACAUGUACUUCUCUCAGUUUUGCUUAUAAUUAAUUGAAUUUGUCCUUCAUAAAAUUUUAAUAUAUAAUUUCCCUUUAUAAUGCCUUUGUAUGGAUGAGAGAAGCACCCAUUCUAUAUAAAUGCUUGUUGAGUACUAAAACACUAACAUAUACAUAUUGGAAUAAUUCCCAAUAAAAUGCUGUUCUUAAACUUAAACCUUGAUUUGAUAAUCUCAAUUAAUUACUUUAAUAAAAUUGGAAUGCUGAAGUCUGUCAGAAAUUUUGUGGACCCUGAUAUCAUCUUUGGAAACCGAAACCUUUUAUAGAUCCCGAUGUCCAAAAAGCCACCAGUUCUGUAUGUGCGUGAUCAUGUUUUAAUACUGUACAGUUAUCCCACUUAGACAAUCUUUUUGUCAGAACAACUAGGAAUGAAAUAGGAGAAACAAAAUGUAUUACUAUUGUUCUAAAGUGCUUUGUUUAAUACAGGGUUCGGAAGAGUUGUCUUGCUGUGUUAAGUUUGCAAGUGGCCUCUGAUAAAGGAAGGGACAGCAAACUGUAGACAUAUGUUAUAUUAAGUUGCCCUCACUUGUCAGGUCUUGGAAACCCAUUUAUUUUAUUGCAGAUGCCUCUAUGAUACCACGUUACAAAUUGACUAAGAAUACUUACUAUUAUCCUAUUUUAUUUUAGUUAUUUCACAUUGCGCAGCCUAUGCAAACAAUGUCUAGGUCCCAACUUCAGCUUGUACAUCCUCUAAGAGCCAGCAUUAAUACUGUUUUAUCACUCAAAACUAUAUAUAAAGUAUUAAAAACAUGAACCAUCUGUGUAUUAGGCUGGGGUUGUUGGGUGUGGGUAUGGGUUGCAAGCUGUGGUUGGUAUUGAGGAACCUGCCAGGGUGGGUCCUUGAACGCCAGCUGGGUCAGGUUCUCCUUUGUUUCCCUGAGCACCAGGUUCACUAUUGUUACCCUUAGGUCAAGGGGAACCUCCAGGGCCUUGAGGUCCAGGAGUACCACAGGCACCAGGGAAGCCAGGGGCACCAGCAAUACCUGGAGUACUAGUGGGGCCAGCUUGACCGGGAGAACCGGGUUCACCACGAGCACCUUGGGGUGAAUCCCUGCUAUCCAAAAUUAAAACAGUGCUGAAGUUGCCACCUCUACAAAAGUUAGACCCCUUUGAUCAAAUCCUCUACAUCUGCCUCUAAAACUUUUCUGAUUCAAUCUCCUAUCACCUCCCAAAUGUCCUUGUCUCGCCUGCUUAAGACCGAUACAACAUACUUUUCCCUCUUUCUUUAUAUCAAAACAACCUGCUGUAUCUUUCUCAUGAAUCUUCAAGAAAUUCAGUUGGAAUCAAAGAGGGCCAGUCACAGACCAACAGUUUGACCAAAAGUGAACAAGGAGGAAGCAUAUUCCAUAUGCAGGUUGAGAUUACCUAACUCACACCCCCUCUUUGUGUACCACACAGAUAUAAUAUUAAUAAGCUUUUGAAUAUUUAUUGUGUAUGUAUAGCACGGUUGUCUAGGGGUGUAUACAUAAACAGUGAAAGCAGAGUCUUCAUAUAGGGUUUGCAAUACUGACAGUCUGGGUCAUAGGUGUAAUACAGACAUGCGGUUAGGUACUUUUCCAUUGUCAGAAUACACUGAAAACACUAAUAUAUGGCAAAUAUUAAAAUCAUAUUGCAGCUGUUUCCUACACUUGCAAUGAUAUGGUUGUAAUACUUCAAUUGAGUUCAAAUUGAGUAUCAAAAGUCUAACCACAAAAACUAAAUUUGAUAUGCUUAUCAAAAAUGAGUUUAACCCCUUAGCGAUUUAAUAGGGUGACCUCUUCCCAUAGUAUGGUUCCUUUUAUAAUUAUAUUAUUU